rnacentral:rRNA from 1 species
AUACGGGGGGUGCAAGCGUUAUUCGGAUUUAUUGGGCGUAAAGGGCGCGUAGGCGGCUUGGAAAGUCAGAUGUGAAAGCCCGGGGCUCAACCCCGGAAGUGCAUUUGAAACUAUCAGGCUUGAGUAUGGGAGAGGGAAGUGGAAUUCCUGGUGUAGAGGUGAAAUUCGUAGAUAUCAGGAGGAACACCGGUGGCGAAGGCGACUUCCUGGACCAAUACUGACGCUGAGGCGCGAAGGCGUGGGGAGCAAACAGGAUUAGAUACCCCAGUAGUCC